rnacentral:lncRNA from 1 species
ACAGGCAGCGUGGGCACACAGGGCCGUGCCUGCAAUAAGACAGCCCCUCAGGCUAGUGGCUGUGACCUCAUGUGCUGCGGCCGUGGCUACAACACACACCAGUAUGCCCGGGUGUGGCAGUGCAACUGCAAAUUCCACUGGUGCUGCUACGUCAAGUGUAACACAUGCAGCGAGCGCACAGAGAUGUAUACGUGCAAGUGAAUGAGGUCACAGGUCAGAUCACAGGCAGGAUACCGUCUCCCUGAAGGCCACUGCCAGGAGACCCACAGGGAACCACAGAAGCACUGUCCUCCCUGCAGGCCCCUGCCUGGAUACUCACAGGGAACCACAGAAGCACUGUCCUUGUCUUUUCUGCUGAGGGGGAAGGGUAUUCUGGGUUUCCCACAGACUCCUGUGGGAAGCAUCUCUCAGAGGCCCACCCGUUCUACUCCACACAGAUGCUGCUCAGCCACCUUCCCCCAGACACCGCCCGAGUCCCUCCAUGGCUGGAACAAAGUUUUCUACAGCAGGAGCUCUGGAGCCUCGGGCCUCGUCAUAGCAAUAUUUAACAGUUUAUUCUGAUAAGAAAUAAUAUUAAUUUAUUUAAUUAAAGAGAAUUCUUCCACCUCGUCGGGAUCCGUUUUCUGCAAUCAAAGUGGACUGCUUGAGGUCCUGGUGGGAUGACUUGCUAGGACUGGGAGCUGAGAACAGCUGUACAUAAUUAUUCUUCAUGCAGAUGGUUCUUCUAGUUGAUUUUGCCUUCCGCAGUGCUGGGUGUUAAGUACAAAGAGAAGACGGUCUUUAUACACAUAUAGAUAUAUAUGCAUACACAUUUGUAUUUUUUUUGUUUUUGUUUUUGCUGUUUGCUGCUACCUAUCCAGAAUCUAAGCUGGUCCAGAUCUGGAAUUGUUUCUCUCCAGGACAUGCCCCUAUCCUUUUGCCCUCCAGUUCAAACCUCGCCAUUAGAAAAGUUCCAUUGGGCAUGGUGUGAAUCACAAAUUCCCAGCAAUUCCCAUCCCGGAAAGUGAACCACUGGAUAAGAGGCUUUCUAAGAGACUAUUUUUCUAUGAAUAUUUUAUUUAUAUGGAGUCUGCCUGUGUUGCCCCAUGGCCCAUGCCUCUUCUUAACACUGGUACUCACUCAGGGGCAGGAGGACAAGGCCAGCUGCUGGAGAAACUCAGAUGCCUGUGACACCACAACCCUGAGCCUCGUGGCCUGCGUGCUGGGAGCCCCUCAGUGCCUAGGUCAUGUCCAGUCUCCCACCUGGGUCACAGCAGGACAAAUAAACACGACUGUAUGGCUGA